GGAGAGGUGGCCGAGUGGCUGAAGGUACUCGCCUCGAAAGCGAGCGUACCAGAAAUGGUACCGAGAGUUCGAAUCUCUCCCUCUCCGCCA
rnacentral:tRNA from 1 species